UUUGAUAAGGAAGAUAACUUUUGGCAGCUGUACGGUGUUUUUCUACGUACCCAAUGCAGAUGAUUGCCCUAGUCUGCUUCUAGCUAGUGAGGUGGAGCUUUCAGAACUGCAGGAUCCCAAUCUUGCUUCAACUAUGAGAGAACAGCAACAUCGAGCCUUAAUUUUGGGAAAAAAUUGGGUAUUAAUCAGCCUGUAUAUCUUGUUAUCAUUAUGCAGAAAAAAAUUGAUUACCAUAUGUUUUAACUCAUUUGUGCACUGAGUAUGGCACAAACAAACUAGAAUUGAUGCGCUUGUUCAAGAUGCAAAUAUACUAAUGGAGCAAAUGGAGAAACAACAAUUCAUUCCAGGCAUCAGGAAUGUCAGGAAUACACUAUGAUUGCAAUCAUGCAUCCCAACUUUCUUGAAUUUCUUCUAUAUAUGGAUGUCGAUUUUGAAGGUA